GUGCUAAGAUUUUUUUACUUUUUUGGUAUCCUUCUGGGCAUCUGUCCCUGCUGCACGGUACGUUUAUUGAACGUUACUAUAUUGCGACUCACACUUUUAAUCGUAUUAAUUGUUUCUACGCUGAUAAUGAUAAAUAUGCCAUGAAACUCGUUCUCAUUGUUACUGGACAAGGUAUGCUAAAAAUAAAUCGAUAAAACUUGCAUUUACCGCCCUCUACUUAACAACACUAAAACUAUUUAUUGCGGGGGCGGCAACGGCGGCGGCGGCAGCGCCCAGCAACAAGCGUGGGCGACGUUGGGGAGGGCGGCGCGCGCAGCAAAUAUACCUAGGUCUAGAUACGGAACCGUCUAGAAUAAUCUAGCCACCCCAGACUCCCGAUCAAUAUCUGUAAUGACAUGCGCUAACAGCAUCUAGGUCCAGACAGACGCCAUCCAAUAUCCAGUCUCAGCAGCGCCGGUCACAGAACAAGUCGUUAUUUUUGUAACUGAAUUAAUAUUUGAAUAACUAUAUUGGUGUAAUUUUGAUAAUGGUUCUGAAAACUGACUAAGUACAGCUGUUAGUAAGAACCUAUUGCAAUAGACCGGCGUGCUAGACUUGUUUGAACGGUUUUGUCCCGGGCACAGGAAUUGUGCAGGGCUUUUCAAUUAGCUACUCAUUACCUAUUAGACUUUUUCACCGAGUGUUUGUAAGCGUGAAAUAAAGAAGCAUCAAGACCAACGGACGGUGCGCAGGCAACAGGAAGAAAAGAUACCAGUCACUCUCAUCGUUGAAAAUACACCAUCAAUUCGCCGUCGUGCUCAGCUGGCAGCAAGCCACGCCCCUGCAGCCUGUCUUCAGCAUCCCUCAUACAACCACUACGGCCUAUCUGAUGUAUACCGAGCGAGGCAGGGGGCGAAUGAGGGAAGAAACUACAAUACCGGUCGGUGUCGAGUUGGAGGCAGGUGAAGAGAUCACAUGAUGCAACCGCCGCUUUCGGUAGAUGAAACACCUUACUACUCAUGGAUCGGAGGAGGAAAAACGUGAGGAAACCUGACAGGCUACAGGAUCGAGGGAGUCUACAUCCAUAUAUUAUACU